UACGGAGGGGGCUAGCGUUGUUCGGAAUUACUGGGCGUAAAGCGCACGUAGGCGGCUUUGUAAGUUAGAGGUGAAAGCCCGGGGCUCAACUCCGGAAUUGCCUUUAAGACUGCAUCGCUAGAAUUGUGGAGAGGUAAGUGGAAUUCCGAGUGUAGAGGUGAAAUUCGUAGAUAUUGGGAAGAACACCGGUGGCGAAGGCGGCGAGCUGGCCUGUACCUGACGCUGAGGCGCGACAGCGUGGGGAGCAAACAGG
rnacentral:rRNA from 1 species